rnacentral:misc_RNA from 1 species
GAUGAAGAACGCAGCGAAAUGCGAUACGUAAUGUGAAUUGCAGAAUUCAGUGAAUCAUCGAAUCUUUGAACGCACAUUGCGCCCCUUGGUAUCCCGAGGGGCAUGCCUGUUCGAGCGUCAUUUCACCACUCAAGCCUGGCUUGGUGUUGGGCGACGUCCCCUUUAGGGACGCGCCUCGAAACGCUCGGCGGCGUGGCACCGGCUUUAAGCGUAGCAGAAUCUUUCGCUUUGGAAGUCGGGGCCCCGCCUGCCGGAAUACCUACUCGUAAGGUUGACCUCGGAUCAGGCAGGGAUACCCGCUGAACUUAAGCAUAUCAUAAGCGGAGGA